UCUGGGACAAGCCCUGGAAACGGGGUCUAAUACCGGAUAAUACUCCUGCCUGCAUGGGCGGGGGUUGAAAGCUCCGGCGGUGAAGGAUGAGCCCGCGGCCUAUCAGCUUGUUGGUGGGGUAAUGGCCCACCAAGGCGACGACGGGUAGCCGGCCUGAGAGGGCGACCGGCCACACUGGGACUGAGACACGGCCCAGACUCCUACGGGAGGCAGCAGUGGGGAAUAUUGCACAAUGGGCGAAAGCCUGAUGCAGCGACGCCGCGUGAGGGAUGACGGCCUUCGGGUUGUAAACCUCUUUCAGCAGGGAAGAAGCGAAAGUGACGGUACCUGCAGAAGAAGCGCCGGCUAACUACGUGCCAGCAGCCGCGGUAAUACGUAGGGCGCAAGCGUUGUCCGGAAUUAUUGGGCGUAAAGAGCUCGUAGGCGGCUUGUCACGUCGGAUGUGAAAGCCCGAGGCUUAACCUCGGGUCUGCAUUCGAUACGGGCUAGCUAGAGUGUGGUAGGGGAGAUCGGAAUUCCUGGUGUAGCGGUGAAAUGCGCAGAUAUCAGGAGGAACACCGGUGGCGAAGGCGGAUCUCUGGGCCAUUACUGACGCUGAGGAGCGAAAGCGUGGGGAGCGAACAGGAUUAGAUACCCUGGUAGUCCACGCCGUAAACGUUGGGAACUAGGUGUUGGCGACAUUCCACGUCGUCGGUGCCGCAGCUAACGCAUUAAGUUCCCCGCCUGG
rnacentral:rRNA from 1 species